CUACCCGCUGAACUUAAGCAUAUCAAUAAGGCGGA
rnacentral:rRNA from 1 species